AAUAUCAAAGGUGAGCCAGUACAGGAUGGACCCGCGUCUGAUUAGCUAGUUGGUAAGGUAACGGCUUACCAAGGCGACGAUCAGUAGCCGACCUGAGAGGGUGAUCGGCCACAUUGGAACUGAGACACGGUCCAAACUCCUACGGGAGGCAGCAGUGGGGAAUAUUGCACAAUGGGCGAAAGCCUGAUGCAGCAACGCCGCGUGAGUGAUGAAGGCCUUCGGGUCGUAAAACUCUGUCCUCAAGGAAGAUAAUG
rnacentral:rRNA from 1 species